rnacentral:rRNA from 1 species
GACCUUUUUCGAAGGUAUACUUAAAGAGGGGCUUGCGGCACAUUAGUUAGUUGGUAGGGUAAAAGCCUACCAAGACCAUGAUGUGUAGCUGGACUGAGAGGUUGAACAGCCACAUUGGGACUGAGACACGGCCCAAACUCCUACGGGAGGCAGCAGUAGGGAAUUUUCGGCAAUGGAGGAAACUCUGACCGAGCAACGCCGCGUGAACGAUGAAGUAUUUCGGUAUGUAAAGUUCUUUUAUUGGAGAAGAAAAAAUAGUGGAAAAACUAUCUUGACGAUAUUCAAUGAAUAAGCCCCGGCAAACUAUGUGCCAGCAGCCGCGGUAAUACAUAGGGGGCGAGCGUUAUCCGGAAUUUAUUUGGCGUAAAGGGUGCGUAGGCGGUUUGGUAAGUCUAUAGUUUAAUUUCAGUGCUUAACACUGUCUGCUAUAGAAACUAUCAGACUAGAGUGAGAUAGAGGCAAGUGGAAUUUCCAUGUGUAGCGGUAAAAUGCGUAAAUAUAUGGAGGAACACCAGAGGCGUAGGCGGCUUGCUGGGUCUUUACUGACGCUGAGGCACGAAAGCGUGGGGAGCAAACAGGAUUAGAUACCCUGGUAGUCCACGCCGUAAACGAUGAGUACUAAGUGUCGGGGAAACUCGGUACUGAAGUUAACACAUUAAGUACUCCGCCUGAGUAGUACGUACGCAAGUAUGAAACUUAAAGGAAUUGACGGGACUCCGCACAAGCGGUGGAUCAUGUUGUUUAAUUCGAAGAUACACGAAAAACCUUACCAGGUCUUGACAUACUCUGCAAAGCUAUAGCAAUAUAGCGGAGGUUAUCAGGGAUACAGGUGGUGCAUGGUUGUCGUCAGCUCGUGUCGUGAGAUGUUAGGUUAAGUCCUAAAACGAGCGCAACCCUUGUCACUAGUUGCCAGCAUGUUAUGAUGGGCACUUUAGUGAGACUGCCAAUGAAAAAUUGGAGGAAGGUGAGGAUCACGUCAAAUCAUCAUGCCCCUUAUGAUCUGGGCUACAAACGUGAUACAAUGGCUGUUACAAAGAGUAGCUAAAACGCGAGUUUAUAGCCAAUCUCAUAAAAGCAGUCUCAGUUCGGAUUGAAGUCUGCAACUCGACUUCAUGAAGUUGGAAUCGCUAGUAAUCGCGAAUCAG